ACACACACACACACUUGUGCAUGCAUGCACGCACACACACGUCUGCUUUGAUUUUCCUGUUUGUCUCCUGUCAGAAGGCCCGGUUUUAAGGUGGGGGCUGUAAGACGCGGAGGCGUUUGGGGAAGUACAUUUGGGCUGUUCUGUGCCCCAGGGUUGGCAGUCCAGACAACUAGGUCAGACAGAAGUAAACAAAACCUAGUUUGCAUGUCAUCUGUCGACCAUCAUGUGUUUUCUUUUGUGGGAGUACAGAACUAGUCCCGCUCUGGCACAUUUUCUAUGGUAAACACUUUUUAGGUAUUUUUGUGGCAUUGCCUCUGUGGUUUUUUUUUUCUCUUCGCCGUUAGUAGUUUGAAUCUCCUUUUAUUGCUUUUGUUGCUUAAUUAGCCCAAACUAUUGAGUCAUUUUUAGCUGAAUAAAAUUCAACUAUGCAACGGCAAAUACACAAAGGACAAAUAAAUGAUUCAUUGAUUCAACUUGAGGCUUUAGUCGCCUUCUCUUUGGGCAUUGUGUGUGACCGGAUGAGCAGCUGCAGAGAUAAAUGAAGCUAUAGUUGUGAAUCAUUUUCACAGGAUGUAAAACUGUUCUUGCGACUUUUAUUCUGCUGUCUGCCAUAGGAGGAGGUGUCGGCUGGGGUUUGGCUUUUGGAUCAGUUUCGCUCUGCCGACUCUUAUUAAUAGAGUCACGUGGUUGUCAAACUGGUCGAGCGGCCAUGGAAGCGGCACCCAAACGGCAGUCAAAAAAACUAAGCAAUACAUUAUUGCAUUAUAAACACUAUAAACACUAUUCACACUAGACAAAGAGCAAACAAAACAAUACAUUUAGAAACUAAUACAAACUGAAAAUAUCUUAAACCCAUUCUAAUAAUUGCUUAAUAAUCUGUAUCGACAGAAAAAAUCUGCUCUGGCCAGUAUCGCCCCUCUUUAAUCUGCCUCUUAGUUUGAGCCAUACCGGGAACCAAUACAUUGUGUGCAAAUCCCUGAGGACUGUUUUGUCUGCGCACCUGAGCGUGACAUGCCAGGUUGAGGUCCCUCCACCGCAGGUGAAGCCACGCCCAGAAAACACACCAAUUCCAACCAAACAAAAAGGAAAACCCAAUUAGUGUCUUGUUUAAUUGUUUUUUCCUAUUAAUACAUUAAAAUGCACCCUGACAUGUAACAUUGGGUCAUUGUUACAAGGAGGUUGGCUUAUCUUCAUAUCGACUGUGGCAGCGAAAUGCAUACUUUUUUCCUGCUUUCUCUCUGGUUUUCCAGUCGCAUAUAAUGCAGUUGUUUCAGUAUGUCAUCGUCUCAUUGUAGGGAUCGACAAAGUCGGGCCUGUUCCUAGUGCGGGUAGGACUCCACCAGGGCUGUGCCUUGUCACCGGUCCUGUUUGUGGAGUUUAUAGACGGGUUCUCAGGGCGUAGCAAUAGACAGGAAGGUGUCUGGUUUGGGAGCCCCAGGGUGUUCUGUUGGCUUCUUUAAGCCGUCAUCUCCAGUUUGCACUGCCUUACAGCCUCAGAGAUGAGGUGCAGAGCUCUGUUAUCCAGUUGUAGGUCAAAGUAGAGCUGCUGCUUCUCCGCAUCAAAAGGAGUCUGAUGAGCUGGUUUGGGCAUCGGGUCAGGAUGUCCCAUGGAGGCCUCCCUUUGGGGGUUUUCUGGGCACGUCCCGCUGGGAAGAGACCCAGAACGUGCUGGAGGGACUGGGUGUCCCGUCUAGACUGGGGACACCUUGGGUCACCCAGAAUGCACUGGGAGAGGGUUGUCUGGGUUUCCCUCCUGGACCUGUUGCCCCCACGACCUGUUCCUGGAUAAGACAACGGAUGGAUGGAUGGAUCACUACUAUCGCAGUUUUGUUCAUCUGAUUAAGUCAUCCAAAAUGUAUUAUUAUUACAAGCCAAAGUUAUUGCAUUAAGAGUAUAGCGGGCAGCAUGAAUCGUUUUUUUCCCUGCGGCAUAAAUGUUAUCAACAUUAUUUUUAAUAGUAGUGAUAUUUUACAUGAUUUCAUUCGGUAACAGUCUCUCAUCCACACACAUAGCAUCAUAAGUGCAUCAUAUCCGUUUUAAAUAAAAGAUUUUGUCUUGAGACCUUGUGGUCCAGUAAGAUUACGGGGAAUCCAGUUGAAUAAAGUCCAACUACUUCAGAUUAUUCUACUUUGUAAUGUGAGAUUGGCUUUUUACUGUCUGCUAAACAUCAUACUUAUUUUUAAGGAGCUUCUAUAAGCAGGGGUUAACAAAUUGCACACAUUUGCUAAGUACCAGUUAUUAGAUUAUGUCAAAUUCUGCUGCAGCGCGAACGCACAAUGCAGAACCGAAGCAGACGUCUUCAUUAGGCGGUCACAAGCGAGCCCUUUCUUCCCUGUCUAGUCAGAGACAACUGGCAGCUGUGUCCCUUUAAUGGAAUCUGUUAACAGCUUGGACGAAGCGGAGCUCAGACACAGGCUGCAGAUUGUUGUUAAGGUGAACUCAGCUGGGUGUCUCAUGGCUUAGACCGGCCAUUCGGGGACAGCGAUUAGGCACAACAUGUAGUCCGAAGCAAAGAGCUGGGCCAACUCUGUGGUAGCUUCGCACUUUUAUUGUUGAAUUGAACUUAAAAUGAAGUUCUUCUCCUUCUUUACUUUUUAUUUUAUUGUUUUGCAAUCUGACCCGCUGGCUUUGCUCAUAAGCUGUUGGUAUUUGGAGACAAUGGCCUACAAAUUAUAGAGUUAAGCCAAAGCAAGUCUGUACAACAGGCAAAAAAAGAAUAUUGUAUGGGCACGGGAAAAUGCAUUUGGCAGAGAUGGAAAAUGCACUAUAUUGCCGAAAGUAUUCGCUCUCCCAUCCAAAUUAUCAGAAUCAGGUGUUCCAGUCACUUUCAUGGCCUCAGGUGCAUAAACUCCAGCACCAAGGCAUGCAGACGGUUUCUACAUACAGCUGUGAAAGAAACGGGUCGCUCUCAGGAGCUCAAUUGAACUCCAGCGUGAUUCUGGGAAUGCUUCAGAAUACCAAGACAACUGUUCCCAACAUUGUGGGAACAGUUUGGAGCCGGCCCCUUCCUCUUCCAGCACGACUGAGCACCAGAGCACGAAGCAAGGGUCCAUUUAGACACGGCUGAGAGUUUGGUGUGGAUGAGCUUGUCUGGCCUGCACAGAGUCCUGAUCUCAACCCAACACGACGGAGACUGAGAGCCAGGCCUUGUCGUCCAACAUCAGUGUUUGACCUCAGAAAUGUGCUUCUGGAAGAAUGCGUAAACGCAACCCAGAACCUUGUGGAAAGCCUUCGCAGAAGAGUUGAAGCUGUUCCAGCUGCAGAAGGUGGAUUGAACCCCUAUGGAUUCAGAACGGGGCGUCACUUAAGUCCACAUGCGAGUCAAGGCAGGAGAGCGAAUACUUUUGUCAAUAUAAAUGCAUCGGUAAAAAUUGAGUUGAAAUCUUAUCUAGAAAUAUAACUUUUUAGAGGUCAUUAAUUUAGAUGUCUCCUAAUGCCAAAUCUCAGAGCUUUAACCUUAACUCAUGCUACCCUGAUUCUGUUUUCCAGAAAGGAGAAACGACCACAAAGAGUAAAGCGAGAUAUUUCGCCGUACAUGACUGGAUCUAAAUCCGCUCUGGUUCCAGCAUUCAGCCAUACAGAGCUCCCCUGUUCUUCUCUAAAAACCGCUAUGCCCUUCUGUUUUCUCGUUUACACCCCAUGGAUUACACACACACACACACACACACACACACACACACACACACGUCAGGGCAAACGGACUCAAAGAUUUGCAGCGGCGACCUCUCUCUGACUCCGGUGAGCGAUGCGGUCGCUCAAAUUAGCGGAGAGGUCACUGCCACUCUGGCCUCAAACCUGCAAGAGAGUGCUUUGCUAAAGUAUUUCCACCUCCUGGACUUCUCCACAUUUUGUCUCGUUCCAGCGACAGACCAACACAAAGUACCACAUUUUAAAGACAUCUAUUCAAAUCUAUGUAGAAAUAAAAAAUCCAGACAGUGUAAUUCUCCAUCCACCCUGGAUAAAUCUCUUUCCUUUUCUUCUUUGCAAAACAGCAAGAAGGUUUGAAACCACCUUACAGGCCUGCCACGUCUACUGCAUUACAUACUAGUGUUGGAUUCCUCAUGUAUGACCCCAUUAUAAUAAUACAUUGAUGUCUGUGGUCAUAGGUUCUAGAGGUCUGAGUACUUUUACGAGGCGCUGCGGGUCCCUGUCUUUCACUCGCAGCCCUGUUUCCGUCAUCCAGCGCACACGUCCAUGCGCUCACGGAGUGGCAGCUCCGACAGCUGCAGUCCUGCUGCCUCAGGCCCGUUUCCCUGCGUAUCAGACCGCCGCCGGGGGAGGAAAACGCAGGCAGGACACGGGAUCCGUCCGCACGAAGAAAGGAAAACCAGUCGGAGAUAAAUGCAGCGAUUGGCGGCACCAGGCUUCUGUGACAAUCUGAGUUCUUAGUUGGUUGUUUGUUGUUGUUUUUUUUCACUUAAGCGAGGCUCCCAGUGGGGGGAGGGAAACGAUGCCCAGGCCUAAUUUUGGUCCCCUCUGCCAAGUCUAGCGGGUUCAGAUUCACAAGCGGCCAAAUUACUACCAGGAAGGAAAUGUUGUCUGUAGAGGUGCUCGCUGCCAACAGUAUGGAGUAUGCAGGUAAAAAAAA